rnacentral:misc_RNA from 1 species
AAGUCGUAACAAGGUUUCCGUAGGUGAACCUGCGGAAGGAUCAUUAACGAAUAACUAUGGUGUCUUGGUUGUAGCUGGCUCCUCGGAGCAUUGUGCACGCCCGCCAUUUUUAUCUAUCCACCUGUGCACCGACUGUAGGUCUGGAUGACUCUCGUGCUCUCCGAGUGCGGAUGCGAGGAUUGCCCUCUUGAGGUGUCUCUCCUCGAAUUUCCAGGCUCUACGUCUUUUUACACACCCCACAAGUAUGAUAUAGAAUGUAGUCAAUGGGCUUGAUCGCCUAUAAAACACUAUACAACUUUCAGCAACGGAUCUCUUGGCUCUC